UGAGGAAUAUUGGGCAAUGCCCGCAAGGGUGACCCAGCAACGCCGCGUGGAGGAUGAAUGUCGUAAGAUUGUAAACUACUGUUAGAGGGGAAGAAUAGUACCGGUUGGACCGGUAUAUGACUGUACCCUCAGAGAAAGCCCCGGCUAACUACGUGCCAGCAGCCGCGGUAAUACGUAGGGGGCAAGCGUUGUCCGGAUUUACUGGGUGUAAAGGGCGCGCAGGCGGGAUAAAAAGUCAGUGGUGAAAUCCUACAGCUGAACUGUAGAACUGCCUUUGAUACUUUUAGUCUUGAGUUCGGGAGAGAGAGACGGAAUUCCAGGUGUAGUGGUGAAAUACGUAGAUAUCUGGAAGAACACCAGUUGCGAAGGCGGUCUCUUGGUCCGACACUGACGCUGAGGCGCGAAAGCGUGGGGAGCAAACA
rnacentral:rRNA from 1 species